rnacentral:lncRNA from 10 species
ACACCUCCCAAAAUGCAGAGAAGGCAGGGUGGCUAGGAAUGGCUCUAGUAGAAUUCUCCCCUUAUCUUGUCUGGAAACAAGGGGCAAAGAGCUAUCUAUUUCCUCCUGCCAGCCUCCUGCCCCCAACAGGAUUCCUCACAUCCCAGGACCAGCUGGAAAAGGUGGUGAGAGUUGGAAAGAGACUGCUCAGUGAGGACUGCCCUGCGAACCAGCUUGGAUUCAUCCCGUUCACCUCCACGUUCUGCACUCGGGGCCGAGGGAAGGGAGGCAGCCCAGGCAGCUAGAGAACUUGAUGAAACACACUCAAUCUGAAUCUCGCUUGAUCGUCAUGCUGACCCAGUGAGGGUCAGGCAUCCUUUCCGACUACUCACUCAGCAGCGGAUCCCCACCCGCCUCUGACUCCCAGUGUCUUUCGGCUCCAACGUAAGUUCACCGAACGUCUAAGAGCUGAGGAUUCAAAGGCAUGUAAGACCGCCCCUGCCCUCAGCUGCAAGACCUGUCCGCGAUCCUACGAGCCCCAUUCCGCCCUCUUUCCCCGACCUUGGUCCCCCAUGGGCCCUACAACCAGGUCCCCGACUGACACCUUGACCAGCGAACACAGCAAACAGGCCCGCAGAUGCCGCAGGUCCUUCGGCACCGUCUCCAGGGCCAUCUUCGCCGAUGGGAAGAACAACAGGGAGAUAGACGACCACAGCCUGUGCACCCGCAGGAAGUAAAUAGCUCGUUACCCAGAAUGCCCACCACUUCCGGCGCUUAGACUUCCUCUUCCGGUGUGGGCGGACGCCAGCUCCGCCCCUACCCCCGCCAGAGGAGAUGGUUUCUCCCGCCAGCAGGCGGGGAGGCUGGGCGGCCGGCCGCCACCUGGGCCGGAGCGCGUCGCAGCCACCUGAGCCCGCCGAGGGCGCGGCGGAGGCUGUGUGGGGUAGUCAGCGGGCCCCCGGGGCGGGGGGGCGGCUGCGCUUGCGCGGGAGUGUGUCGGGCUGAGCCGCAGCGCCGAGACGCGGGCUGUUUGAUCUGGGCUGGUGGCCCUGGGCGUCGGUCCUGUUCCCCGAUGGUAACCCGAAGUUUGUUUUUUUUUGUUUUGUCUCCCCGUUUUAGAAGCAUUGGGGGCAGUGAAUCCACUGUCUCCCUCUGGAUUGUCUCUGCAGAGACCGAGAAGAAAUCCAGGGACAGCCCCACCCCUCCUUCCUAACUGCGAGAGCGCUAUAGGGUUUCCACUUGCUUCCCACAGGAAUGCUGGCCUGGGAGCUACGGCGGAAAAAAAUGCGUAUUUAUCUUUUAAAACUCCGUCUGUUUGCUCGUUCCGGCUGAUAAUUUAUACUUUGCGCAGUUCUUAGCGCUUAGACACGGUUCCUUUACUAAAGACCAUUUGUAGGAGAUUAGGUGUCCUUUUUUUCCCUUUCAUUUCACCGUCUAGGAAGCGAAAUGCCUUGUUCUAUAGGCACUAAACCACCACCCCUACCAAACCUUUCUCGGGGAAGCAGAAGGGGAACUUGUGCCUUGUGAGGAAGCGACAAAGGCCCCUUCUGGCCCUGGAGACUUCACGCCAAUGGAGCACCAGCUCUCUGUCCUCGCAAUAGCCCGAGUGCAGGCAGAACGCAGUCAUUUGUGUUUAUCUGAGAGGAGCUUUGGGAUAUAAAUAGUUUCAGGCCCCGCUGCGCUGUCAUUCCAGCCCAGCCUCCUGAUUGAGCUGCUUCCGGGCGGGCUUUCUUCUUGUUGGCGGUCCCAUGCUGUGUUCAGAUGGGCUCUGUGACAGGUUUGGAUGUUUUCUAUCACUGAAUAAAACUUUCCACUUUGGAACAUA